rnacentral:rRNA from 1 species
UGCUAGUUGUACGAGUUUAGACUCGUAGCAGAUAGCUCAGUAACACGUGGCCAAACUACCCUAUGGAUCCGGACAACCUCGGGAAACUGAGGCUAAUCCGGAAUACGGCUCUCAGCCUGGAAGUGGCGAGAGUCAGAAACGCUCCGGCGCCAUAGGAUGUGGCUGCGGCCGAUUAGGUAGACGGUGGGGUAACGGCCCACCGUGCCCAUAAUCGGUACGGGUUGUGAGAGCAAGAGCCCGGAGACGGUAUCUGAGACAAGAUACCGGGCCCUACGGGGCGCAGCAGGCGCGAAACCUUUACACUGCACGAAAGUGCGAUAAGGGGACUCCAAGUGCGAGGGCAUAUAGUCCUCGCUUUUCACUACCGUAAGGUGGUAGUAGAAUAAGUGCUGGGCAAGACCGGUGCCAGCCGCCGCGGUAAUACCGGCAGCACGAGUGAUGACCGCUCUUAUUGGGCCUAAAGCGUCCGUAGCUGGCCACGCAAGUCUAUCGGGAAAUCCGCGCGCUCAACGCGCGGGCGUCCGGUGGAAACUGUGUGGCUUGGGACCGGAAGAUCCAGAGGGUACGUCUGGGGUAGGAGUGAAAUCCCGUAAUCCUGGACGGACCACCGGUGGCGAAAGCGCUCUGGAAAGACGGAUCCGACGGUGAGGGACGAAAGCUCGGGUCACGAACCGGAUUAGAUACCCGGGUAGUCCGAGCUGUAAACGAUGUCUGCUAGGUGUGCCACAGGCUACGAGCCUGUGGUGUGCCGUAGGGAAGCCGUGAAGCAGACCGCCUGGGAAGUACGUCCGCAAGGAUGAACUUAA